rnacentral:sRNA from 1 species
CCGGACGGACCGCCGAAUCCUGCCACCGACCGGAAUUCGAACCCACCCGUACGAGGCAGGAGCGGGGGACCCAGGUAAGUACGCCGAUCCCUUCGAAGAAGGACGGCUCGGGGUUAAGUCGCGUGAGAACGCGGCCGGACAUCUCCAGUCCGAACCCGACAGCUCACCUCGCAGGCGCCGGAGAGGAAUU